rnacentral:rRNA from 1 species
UACGUAGGGACCAAGCGUUGUUCGGAUUUACUGGGUUUAAAGGGUGUGUAGGCGGGCUUUUAAGUCAGUGGUGAAAUCUCCGGGCUCAACCUGGAAACUGCCAUUGAUACUAUUAGUCUUGAAUUUUGUUGAGGUAGGCGGAAUAAGUCAUGUAGCGGUGAAAUGCAUAGAUAUGACUUAGAACACCAAUUGCGAAGGCAGCUUGCUAAACAAAUAUUGACGCUGAGGCACGAAAGCGUGGGGAUCAAACAGG